AGAGAAGAGGGUGAAGUCCGGCUCGGCUGGAGAAGCAUCCGGCAGCUCUCAAUUAGAAGGAUCCAACAGCCUGGCUAGUCUGAAAGGAGAAGAUGUUGCCACGGGUAACCUACUGGACCUGGAGGAACGGACUCAUGUUGCCGUGGUUCUGGAAACCAAUGGCAACGAGGAGUUCCAGGUGGACGACCACACCGCUCCCGAGGACAUUGAUAACAACAACACUGUCUGGGAAAUUGAGGAAGACUUGGAUGAGGCUUUUUCUAGGUAAGACACUCAUCCUAAA